UCUCUCUCUCUCUCUCUCUCUCUCUCUCUCUCUCUCUCAUCUCUAAGAAAUAGUCAAAACACAUGCAUGCGGAUCCCGCGCUUGCCAUGCACCACCAAUGCUGCAAUGCAAUACCAGAAUUACUCUCUCUCUCUCUAUGCAUUACCACGUAGUGCCUGGUUUGGGACUGCUACGAAACCCAGAUGGGUCGGUGGGUGUGAGACCAGGUCCUAAUGCACACAACCUUUCAACAUUCAACCCCCUAAUCCCUUUCAACCGUCCCAUG
rnacentral:lncRNA from 1 species